GAGGUGGAAAACUUUACAUGUAAGGUUCAAUACAAACAAUAAAUUUUAGGUUUUGUAAAAGAAUAAUGAGAAUCCAAAGCAUUUGCUGUAGGUUUAGUUUUUCAGUAUUGAAAAUUUUUUCUUUUUUUAUGCAAUAAUAGAUACUUAUUGAUUGCAAGUUAUUAUGUCUUUGCAAAAUCAUCAAUCAUUGCAGUUGGAUGAUUAGCACUUUGAACAUUUAUGAGGUUUUUAUUUAUUAUAGAAAGAUGCUGAGAGCUUAUUGUAAUGAGG
rnacentral:misc_RNA from 1 species